UACGUAGGGAGCAAGCGUUGUUCGGAUUUACUGGGCGUAAAGGGCGCGUAGGCGGCAGAUUAAGUCAGCUGUGAAAUCUCCGAGCUUAACUCGGAACUGUCAGCUGAUACUGUUUUGCUAGAGUGCGGAAGGGGCAAUCGGAAUUCUUGGUGUAGCGGUGAAAUGCGUAGAUAUCGUUUGGAACGCCAAUGGUGAAAACAGGUUGCUGGGGAUGUGCUGACGCUGAGACACGAAAGCCAGGGGAGCAAACGGG
rnacentral:rRNA from 1 species